rnacentral:misc_RNA from 1 species
GAUGAAGAACGUAGCGAAAUGCGAUACGUAAUGUGAAUUGCAGAAUUCAGUGAAUCAUCGAAUCUUUGAACGCAUAUUGCGCUCUCUGGUAUUCCGGAGAGCAUGCUUGUUUGAGUAUCAGUAAACACCUCAACUUCCAUAUCUUUUUUGAAAUGGGAGUUGGACUUGAGUGAUCCCAACGCUUUUCCUCACCGAAAAGUGGCGGGUUACUUGAAAUGCAGGUGCAGCUGGACUUUUCUCUGAGCUAUAAGCAUAUCUAUUUAGUCUGCCUAAAAAACAGAUUAUUACCCUUGCUGCAGCUAACAUAAAGGAGAUUAGUUCUUGUGCUGACUGAUGCAGGAUUCACAAAGACAGCUUCGGCCGACUUUGUAAACUCGAUCUCAAAUCAAGUAAGACUACCCGCUGAACUUAAGCAUAUCAAUAAGCGGAGGA